rnacentral:lncRNA from 1 species
AUGUCGGCCCCGCCGCCGCCGCCGCACUGUCGCGCCCUCCUCCUCGCGCUCUGCGCCACCGCGCUGCCGACGCUUCGCUCGAUGAGCGCGCCGCCGCGUCCCCCAGGAACGUUCGGCACUCACGUGCAGACGCUCUCGCGCAGAGGCGACUUCAUCUGGGAGAUGGGCGCGAGGAAUCCGGCUUACAGUAUGACACCAGUGGAGGCCAGAGGAGCUGAUCAUGUGACCACACUGCAUGUGAGAGGGAACCGCUUUUUGAGCACGGACACAAAGGGAACUGUCUGCACCCCUACUGUUUCCUGGCAGCAUGACUGUCUCUUUCCCCGAGUGAAAAGACAGUCUAACAUACUGGGCCCCAACAGAAGUGGCCUGCAGCUGACCCGUGAGAGAGCCCAGCCGCUGCAAAGGCAGAGGAGGGCCUUGCUCCUGGAGCACAGGGAACCCCGAAGGGAGCCCCACAGCCUGGAUGGCAGACAGUGGGGGAGUCAGAGCGCCAGUCCGCAGAGGGCCGAGCUGUUGGAGCAGAGCCUGUCGAUUUCUAGGGAGAGCAUCACUUCGAUCAUUCAUGACGACCCCCUGGAGGUUUUAAAGCCCAUGAACCCCAGCAGUCCCCAGAACACAGGGGCUUCUGGCCAGACAAGACUAAAAAGGUGGGCAACCAGGAGACCAAAGAGCAGGGAUAGAGUCGAAGCAGCUGGUGUGAAACAGCGUUUACUUUUUUAUUCCUCUAGUUGAUGCUUAUCACCAAAGCAACUUACCAUGUUGUCAGCUGUUGUUUACCCAUUUAUACAGCUGGGUAACCUUUACUGGAGCAAUACAGGGGUAAGUACCUUGAUCAAGGGUACAACAGCGCAACAGGUGACAUUUGAACAUGUGAUCUUUGGAACUGAAGGCAUGAGCAUUAACUGUUCCGCUACCAGCUGCCCCCCCCCGAGGUCCACAACUCGUGAAAUGAUGCCAGAAAAUUGCUAAUUAAAGUGAGGUUUAUAGGCUGACCCUAUUUCUGGAAAAUAGUCCUGUACCGUUCAAGUUACCAGAAAGAUUGACGGCCCAACAGAAGGGCCUCUCAAGGACUUUAAAAGUCUGAGGGUACGGUAGACCUGUGCGCUGCCAAGGCUGGACAUGGGAUCACAUCGACAUCUUUAGAACAGUAUUAUAACUCAGUGGGGAUUUUGAACAAAUUAUUUGCAGAAGCCAAACUGAACCCUGACCACCUGGACCUGCGCCCCAAGUUCAUGCGUCAAAGUGCGGUCAUGUGGAUGGAGCGCACAGGGCUUCUUUGACUUCACAUGAACAUGUCACAAUGCUUUAGAGUAGACUUGUUUUUUAAUAACAGUAAAACAUGGGCAACUACUACAGUUUCCCCUCAAAACCUUUGUCGCAUUCAGUGCUCAUGCUGUACAUGUACAUACUUGGGCUUGAAAAUAGUUGCUGCAGUGGCUCAACUGUUCAUCCUGUACUCGGCUUUGAAGUUAAAAUUUAAACCCAAAGUCACACUGGGCUUCUGGUUGCAAAAUGUUCUUUGGAAGCAUACCAGCACGUAUCUAAAGUUUACUAGUUGGAAUGAAGUUUUUUAGUGAACUUUCUUCAUUAGUGUCCGAUAGAAUCAAUCAGUGGUAAUUUUUGAAAGGUUUUCCUUUGAUAUUUAUCAUGAGAUUACCAGCAGGACCCAAUAAACUAUGCAAGAAAUGGAUGAAAUUGGUCCUA